rnacentral:sRNA from 1 species
CGCAAUGGACAUAAAAGGUGUGACGGAU